rnacentral:sRNA from 1 species
AUGGCUGUCGUCAGCUCGUGCCGUGAGGUGUUGCCUUAAGUGGCGCAACGAGCGCAACCCCUGUCCUUAGUUGCCAGCGGGUCAUGCCGGGAACUCUAGGGAGACUGCCGGUGCCAAACCGGAGGAAGGUGGGGAUGACGUCAAGUCAGCAUGCCCCUUAUAUCCAGGGCUGCACGCAUGCUACAAUGCGCGAUACAAAGGGCUGCGAUCCCGUAAGGGGGAGCGAAUCCCAAAAAGUCGCGCUCAGUUCGGAUCGAGGUCUGCAACUCGACCUCGUGAAGUCGGAGUCGCUAGUAAUCGCAGAUCAGCAAUGCUGCGGUGAAUACGUUCCCGGGCCUUGUACACACCGCCCGUCACACCACGAAAGUGGGCAACACCCGAAGCCGGUGGCCUAACCCUUGUGGAGGGAGCCGUCGAAGGUGGGGCUCGCGAUUGGGGUGAAGUCGUAACAAGGUAGCCGUACCGGAAGGUGCGGCUGGAUCACCUCCUUUCUAAGGAGCCGUUGGCAACCCCGAUGAACAUGGGCAUCGAUCCGUGUUCUGCAGUUCGGGAGACUCCAGGUCGAUGGCACUGGCCCCCGCCGGCACACACUGCCGGCGGGCACACUGUUCAGCUUUGAGGGUGCGAGCCCUCGAGCACCUUGAGAACUCGAUAGCGGGCGCGAGCAUCUAUUAGUCAAGUUAUGAAGGGCUUACGGUGGAUGCCUUGGCGCCAGGAGCCGAUGAAGGACGCGUCAGGCUGCGAAAAGCUUCGGGGAGCCGCCUAGAGGGCUUUGAUCCGGAGGUGUCCGAAUGGGGAAACCCGG